rnacentral:lncRNA from 1 species
CGGCUUGGAACGGAGCGGUGUCAUGGCGGAGACGACGGCCUUUGUCUCGCAGGGUGUGAAAGCAUCCGUUGUGCUGGCUCCACUGCGGCAGAAUGAUGUCUAAAGGGGGGAAAAGUGCUGGAAGUCCGAGCUGGAUGCUCAAGAGCAGAGGAUCUAUCAACUGCAGACCAAGCAGAGGGAGAGGCAGGCAGACCUGGAGCAGAAAUGCAGCCAGAGCAUCAGCUCAGCCAGGACCUGGGGGCCAGCCACCAGCUACGGAAGGGAGCUUGGAGCAGAUGUUUAGCAGCUGUCCCCAGUCUCCAAGGUAUGACACAGCCAGGUGGUCCUAACCUUGCUGAAGAUGUGGGGCAUUUGCACCAUUUUUCUCACAAGAUCUCACUGCAGUCUCAGCUGCUGUAGCUCUGUUCCUCCUCAGGAAUUAGGCUUGGGGCUGUGCUAGAAUAAAAUCAGAUGAAGAUGGAGAGAUAGAUCUGUG